UAUAAACUAGGAGGUCAUAAGUCUCGGACACCUGAAAAGUACGUGGUUAAUACACGACAACACGCACAACGAAUAGGUUUCGGUGUCAGAAUCGAGCCCAGGGAAAGCCAAUACCAACAAGUCAAGACGAGGCCAGAAUUGAUAACAAACUUGGACAAAUAGAUUCGACAUGUCUCACAGGAGGCAUCGCAAGAUCUGGAUACAACACACAAACGUAACGCAGAAGUGUAAAGAUUGAAAGAACUGGUGAAUAAUCUGUUUUCAUGAGUUUAUUGCACGGUGCAAAUGUAGAAAUGAAUCACAUGCUCAGGAUCGAAGCUUUGAAUUCCUCAUCAAAGGGUGCUAAAGCUGGUCUGACGUAUGGUAAAAUGAUCGCAGUGGCAAUAGCAUUUGCAGUUAAAGGUAUGCAAAAGACUUCCUGGAAUUGCUUAGUAUUUACCUUCGUUGUUGGCCUCGCCGACAGUGGUUCCACUAGUUCGGUAAAAUUGU